rnacentral:rRNA from 1 species
AUUGAACGCUGGCGGCAGGCCUAACACAUGCAAGUCGAGCGGGGCGGCGGGCGGGCGAGUAAGGCCUGUGUAUCAGCCUGGUUGUGGGGGAUAAUGUCCGGCAAGGGGCGCUAAUACCGCAUGCUAUCCAUUGAGCCUAGGUGGGAGUAGUUAGCUGGUGGGGUAAAGGCCUACCAAGUCGACGAUCGGUAGCUGGUCUGAGAGGAGGAUCAGUCACACUGGAACUGAGACACGGUCCAGACUCCUACGGGAGGCAGCAGUGGGGAAUAUUGGACAAUGGGCGAAAGCCUGAUGCAGCCAUGCCGCGUGUGUGAAGAAGGUCUUCGGGUUGUAAAGCACUUUAAGUUGGGAGGCGUUACCAACAGAAUAAGCACCGGCUAACUUCGUGCCAGCAGCCGCGGUAAUAC